GCGGAUAUAGUUUAACCUAAAACAUCAGACCGUGAACCUGAAAAUAGAAGCCAAACCC
rnacentral:tRNA from 1 species